UCUACAUUAAUUCCUCAACCGCAUUUAAUGACUCGUGCUCCCCUUGAGGAGGAUGUGAACAUGUCGUUUGGAAGCAUGCUAUUGCAUGGUCUUACCUUGAGUGAAAAUGAUGGUGAUCUUGAGACUUGUUGCAGAGCUGUUGGUGUUCUUUCUCAUGUACUAAAGGAUAAUGUCCAGUG